GAUGAACGCUAGCGGCAGGCCUAACACAUGCAAGUCGAGAGGUAGCAGGAUUAAGCUUGCUUAAUUGCUGACGACCGGCGCACGGGUGCGUAACGCGUAUGCAACCUACCUUAUACUGGGGUAUAGCCCCGAGAAAUUCGGAUUAAUCCCCCAUAGUACUAAUGAAUCGCAUGGUUUAUUAGUUAAAGCAUUGCGGUAUAAGAUGGGCAUGCGUCCUAUUAGCUAGAUGGUGAGGUAACGGCUCACCAUGGCUACGAUAGGCAGGGGGCCUGGGAGGGUGGUCCCCCACACUGGUACUGAGACACGGACCAGACUCCUACGGGAGGCAGCAGUGAGGAAUAUUGGUCAAUGGGCGCAAGCCUGAACCAGCCAUGCCGCGUGCAGGAAGAAUGCCCUAUGGGUUGUGAACUGCUUUUAUUUGGGAAUAAACCUCUUUACGUGUAGAGAGCUGAAGGUACCAAAUGAAUAAGCACCGGCUAACUCCGUGCCAGCCGCCGCCGUAA
rnacentral:rRNA from 1 species